CCAAUAGCGUAUAUUAAAGUUGUUGCAGUUAAAAAGCUCGUAGUUGAGUUUCGGGGUUAGUAGGUUGGUCAUGCCUCUGGUAUGUACUGGUCUCACUGAUUCCUCCUUCCUGAUGAACCGUAAUGCCAUUAAUUUGGUGUUGCGGGGAAUUUGGACUGUUACUUUGAAAAAAUUAGAGUGUUUAAAGCAAGCUAACGCUUGAAUACAUUAGCAUGGAAUAAUGAAAUAGGACGUUCGAUCCUAUUUUGUUGGUUUCUAGGAUUGACGUAAUGAUUAAUAGGGAUAGUUGGGGGCAUUAGUAUUCAAUUGUCAGAGGUGAAAUUCUUGGAUUUAUUGAAGACUAACUACUGCGAAAGCAUUUGCCAAGGAUGUUUUCAUUAAUCAAGAACGAAAGCUAGGGGAUCGAAGACGAUCAGAUACCGUCGUAGUCUUAACCAUAAACUGUGCCGACUAGGGAUCGGAUGAUGUUAAUUUUUUAAUGACUCAUUCGGCGCCUUACG
rnacentral:rRNA from 1 species